UACAGAGGUCUCAAGCGUUGUUCGGAUUCAUUGGGCGUAAAGGGUGCGUAGGUGGCGCCGUAAGUCGGGUGUGAAAUUUUGAGGCUUAACCUCGAAACUGCAUUCGAUACUGCGGUGCUUGAGGACUGGAGAGGAGACUGGAAUUCAUGGUGUAGCAGUGAAAUGCGUAGAGAUCAUGAGGAAGACCAGUGGCGAAGGCGGGUCUCUGGACAGUUCCUGACACUGAGGCACGAAGGCCAGGGGAGCAAACGGG
rnacentral:rRNA from 1 species